rnacentral:rRNA from 1 species
UGGGCAAUCUGCCCUCGGAUGGGGGAUAACCCCGCGAAAGCGGGGCUAAUACCGCAUGACAUUCCGAAGACUCCGGUCUUUGGACUCAAAGGCCGCAAGGUCGUCUGAGGAGGAGCCCGCGCCCGAUUAGCUAGUUGGUGGGGUAACGGCUCACCAAGGCUUUGAUCGGUAGCCGGUCUGAGAGGAUGGCCGGCCACACUGGAACUGAGACACGGUCCAGACUCCUACGGGAGGCAGCAGUGGGGAAUAUUGCGCAAUGGGCGAAAGCCUGACGCAGCGACGCCGCGUGGGGGAUGAAGCUUCUCGGAGUGUAAACCCCUUUCGACCCGGACGAAUGACCCGCAAGGGUUUGACGGUACGGGUAUAAGAAGCCCCGGCUAACUACGUGCCAGCAGCCGCGGUAAUACGUAGGGGGCCAGCGUUGCUCGGAAUUACUGGGCGUAAAGGGUUCGUAGGUGGUGCGGCAAGUUGGAAGUGAAAUCUCUGGGCUUAACCCAGAGGCUGCUUUCAACACUGCCGUGCUCGAGUGCGAGAGAGGCCAGUGGAAUUGCAGGUGUAGCGGUGAAAUGCGUAGAUAUCUGCAGGAACACCCGUGGCGAAGGCGGCUGGCUGGAUCGCAACUGACACUGAGGAACGAAAGCUAGGGGAGCAAACAGGAUUAGAUACCCUGGUAGUCCUAGCCCUAAACCAUCAGAACUUGGGGUGGCCCGCGUAGGCGGGUCGUCCCGUAGCUAACGCGUUAAGUUCUGCGCCUGGGGAGUACGGUCGCAAGACUGAAACUCAAAGGAAUUGAC